rnacentral:rRNA from 1 species
GAUGAACGCUAGCUACAGGCUUAGCACAUGCAAGUCGAGGGGAAACGAUAUUGGAAGCUUGCUUCCGAUAGGCGUCGACCGGCGCACGGGUGAGUAACGCGUAUCCAACCUGCCCAUCACUUGGGGAUAACCUUGCGAAAGUAAGACUAAUACCCAAUGAUAUCUCUAGAAGACAUCUGAAGGAGAUUAAAGAUUUAUCGGUGAUGGAUGGGGAUGCGUCUGAUUAGCUUGUUGGCGGGGUAACGGCCCACCAAGGCGACGAUCAGUAGGGGUUCGGAGAGGAAGGUCCCCCACAUUGGAACUGAGACACGGUCCAAACUCCUACGGGAGGCAGCAGUGAGGAAUAUUGGUCAAUGGGCGAGAGCCUGAACCAGCCAAGUAGCGUGCAGGAUGACGGCCCUAUGGGUUGUAAACUGCUUUUAUAAGGGAAUAAAGUGAGUCUCGUGAGACUUUUUGCAUGUACCUUAUGAAUAAGGACCGGCUAAUUCCGUGCCAGCCGCCGCAGUAA